rnacentral:misc_RNA from 1 species
GAUGAAGAACGUAGCGAAAUGCGAUAAGUAAUGUGAAUUGCAGAAUUCAGUGAAUCAUCGAAUCUUUGAACGCACAUUGCGCCCGGCAGUACUCUGCCGGGCAUGCCUGUUCGAGCGUCAUUUCAACCCUCAAGCCCUGCUUGGUGUUGGGGUCCCACGGCCGCCGUGGGCCCUGAAAGGAAGUGGCGGGCUCGCUACAACUCCGAGCGUAGUAAUUCAUUAUCUCGCUUAGGGCGUUGGGCGGCGCUCCUGCCGUUAAAGAACCAUCUUUAACUCAAGGUUGACCUCGGAUCAGGUAGGAAUACCCGCUGAACUUAAGCAUAUCAAUAACGGAGGA